ACGGUCCUAAGGUAGCGAAUUCCUUGUCGGUUAAAUACCGACCUGCAUGAAUGGCGUAACGAGAUGGGAGCUGUCUCAAAGAGGGAUCCAGUGAAAUUGUAGUGGAGGUGAAAAUUCCUCCUACCCGCGGCAAGACGGAGAGACCCCGUGGACCUUUACUACAGCUUGACACUGCUAUUUGGAUAAGAAUGUGCAGGAUAGGUGGGAGGCUUUGAGUAUAUGACGCCAGUUGUAUAUGAGCCAUUGUUGAGAUACCACUCUUUCUUAUUUGGGUAGCUAACCAGCUUGAGUUAUCCUCAAGUGGGACAAUGUCUGGUGGGUAGUUUGACUGGGGCGGUCGCCUCCCAAAUAAUAACGGAGGCUUACAAAGGUUGGCUCAGAACGGUUGGAAAUCGUUCGUAGAGUAUAAAGGUAUAAGCCAGCUUAACUGCAAGACAUACAAGUCAAGCAGAGACGAAAGUCGGUCUUAGUGAUCCGGUGUUUCUUGUGUGA
rnacentral:rRNA from 1 species